CGUGGCUCGGCGGCAGGAGCACGGGGCUGGGAGGCGGAGGACGUGGGUUCUAAUCCCGCUCCGCCGCGCGGCGGCCGGGCGACCCGGGUGACGACGGAGAAGGGCCCAUUAACUCCACCUGCGUAAGGGAGAGGAAGCAGUCCUACACCUGGUGUUGAAGGGGCUCGUCGAAUGGGAGGAGCCCGGUGCUUGAGUGAGCCUCAAACCUGAUAUAUCACCGGACCAGCCAACGGGCCGUCCUCAACCUCGCCGUCGGUUCCUGCAAACGGCACCUUGUUCAAAAUGCCACGGGACGAGAUAAACGACGAGGAACAUCCUAGCCGCUACGGAACCUGAAGUCCAGCACUAAACACCCAACAAAGCCCUGUUAGUGCACGGCGAAGAGCAGAGGAGGUCAGCCUGGGGGAGGACUGCCAGAACAGAGGCUCGUCGGAGGAUGAGAUCAUCCCACUGAAAACGACAGAGGUUUGAUGAAGUGCCGUAAUUGAAGCCGAGAGUCUUCUGAUGCGGGCUCUUCCAGAAGAGAGCUCCUCCAGAGGCUUUUUUGAAGACCCGACAGGGAGCCAAGUACAUGACGAGUCACCGUCUGAAAAUCAAGCUGACGCCAUUAAAGACUGAAGCCAAACUGGACUCUUAGACUCUCUUUUGUGCCAACCUGUGGAUUGUGUUCUGCUGGAACUGACUUUGGUUAUCGGAAGAACGUCCCCCAUCUCCUCCAUCAUGUUUUCUGCAAAUCGUAUGACAAAAACACAUCUUGUGGACUGUUUAGACUGUAGACUCGUCGUGGACAGGGAACAUGACUACCAACUCUUUUGUAUUCUCACCAGUAAAUACAGUGAUCUGCAAACAUUUGGGUGCUUCCACCCCUGCUACUGCCUGCCCUCUGACGGGUUAUCAGACACGGCGACGGGGCACGGAGGCCGCCUCCACAGAGACCCAACUGGAGAUUCUUCAGUCACCACGGCAGAGGCAGAAGUGACGGAAGCAGCAGCAAAGAUUCAGGUUACUUAAGAGAGCAAGACUGGCACGCCUCUUCCUUUCCCUCCCUGUGAUAGGUAA